rnacentral:rRNA from 1 species
AGAGUUUGAUCCUGGCUCAGGACGAACGCUGGCGGCGUGCUUAACACAUGCAAGUCAGGGGGCCCAGCGAUGGGUCACCGGCGAACGGGUGCGUAACACGUGAGCGACCUGCCCUGGUGUGGGGGAUAGCCGGCCCAACGGCCGGGUAAUACCGCAUACGGCACUCGGCCCGCAUGAGCCGGGUGCGAAACUAUUUAGGCGCCAGGAGGGGCUCGCGGCCUAUCAGCUAGUUGGCGGGGUAACGGCCCACCAAGGCGAUGACGGGUAGCUGGUCUGAGAGGAUGGCCAGCCACAUUGGGACUGAGAGACGGCCCAGACUCCUACGGGAGGCAGCAGUGGGGAAUCUUGCGCAAUGGCCGAAAGGCUGACGCAGCGACGCCGCGUGAGGGAUGACGGCCUUCGGGUUGUAAACCUCUGUUGCCCGGGACGAACACCUGGUUUCGACCAGGCUGACGGUACCGGGUGAGGAAGCACCGGCUAACUCUGUGCCAGCAGCCGCGGUAAUACAGAGGGUGCGAGCGUUGUCCGGAAUCACUGGGCGUAAAGGGCGCGUAGGCGGUCUCUUAAGCGUGUGGUGAAAGCCCGGGGCUCAACUCCGGGUCGGCCGUGCGAACUGGGGGACUGGAGCUUGUCAGAGGCAGGCGGAAUUCCGGGUGUAGCGGUGGAAUGCGUAGAGAUCCGGAAGAACACCGGUGGCGAAGGCGGCCUGCUGGGACAGUGCUGACGCUGA